GACGAACGCUGGCGGCGUGCCUAAUACAUGCAAGUAGAACGCACAGUUUAUACCGUAUCUUGCUACACAAUAUACUGUGAGUUGCGAACGUGAGAGUAACGCGUAGGUAACCUGCCAGGUAGCGGGGAAUAACUAUUGAAAACUAUAGCUAAUACCGCAUAAUAUUAAUUAUUGCAUGAUAAUUAAUUGAAAGUUGCAAUUGCACCCCUACCAGAUGGACGUGCGUUGUAUUAGCUAGUAGGUGAGGUAACGGCUCACCUAGGCGACGAUAAAUAGCCGACCUGAGAGGGUGAUCGGCCACACUGGGACUGAGACACGGCCCAGACUCCUACGGGAGGCAGCAGUAGGGAAUCUUCGGCAAUGGACGAAAGUCUGACCGAGCAACGCCGCGUGAGUGAAGAAGGUUUUCGGAUCGUAAAGCUCUGUUGUAAGAGAAGAAAGGGUGUCAGACUAGAAAGGUGACGGAUUGACGGUAUCGGACUAGAAAGCGACGGCUAACUACGUG
rnacentral:rRNA from 1 species